rnacentral:lncRNA from 15 species
AUGACACCAGUACUCAACACCAGAGCUGCUCAAGAAGUUGGUCCACUACCCCACUCAGACUCGGAGCACUGGAGUCCUGUUAACAGCCAGUGGCCCCCGAGGGGCUACCAGCCUUCUCCGAGUACCCACUCAUUUGACAGGAGUAGUGGCCCCACUUUACCAAUCAUGUACAGCCCUGUAGCCCCUUGCCAGGACCAACAACAUAAACGAACACCUUCAAGUGAAAAGUUCAUUCCAGCAGUGGACAUGAAUUACUCAUCUCAGAAGAGGUACAGGGAGUUUGAGGACUGUGACGACGGUGCCAAGAAACUGUGUCUUCAGGGUGCAAACUCCCAGACACCGAAGCCCAGUGUUGGCAACUCACUCAGCACUUCGCUGGUGUCUCAGCCGUCAUCGGGGCCUUCUUCAGUCUUGGAACUGUCACCCAAAACCACAGAGAGCCAUCUGUGCACGGAACCAGCAUGUGGCCAAUCAACCUACUUGGAACUGUCAUCCACAUUUAAACCCACCCAGUCAUCCUGCGCAUCGUUGUCACCCAAACCUUGUAUAAAGAGACGACCAUCAACGGGGGCAAAGCAAGCCUAUAUAAAUUCCUCUCAGAAUCAUACUGUGAAGUUAAUAGAGUUACAAUCACCUUCAAAGCCACGUGAAGACAGAAGUGAAGAAAACAAUAAAAGCGAUAAAUCAAGCUCUUCAUUAUCAUCCGAGGUUCCCCAGAAGGCCACUGUUGGCUCACCUCAUUUUCAGUCAGGCAGCCACCCCUCUGGCAAUACUUACCGUAGUACCUCAGUCUUUCCAGUCAAGACCCUGAGCAGAGGUAAUCAGGUCGAGGAGAGCAGAAAAACAGACAGUAGCACUCCCAAACCAGCCUCAAAACCAAAUUCCAGUUCU